AAAUUGAAGAGUUUGAUCAUGGCUCAGAUUGAACGCUGGCGGCAGGCCUAACACAUGCAAGUCGAACGGUAACAGGAAGAAGCUUGCUUCUUUGCUGACGAGUGGCGGACGGGUGAGUAAUGUCUGGGAAACUGCCUGAUGGAGGGGGAUAACUACUGGAAACGGUAGCUAAUACCGCAUAACGUCGCAAGACCAAAGAGGGGGACCUUUGGGCCUCUUGCCAUCGGAUGUGCCCAGAUGGGAUUAGCUUGUUGGUGGGGUAACGGCUCACC
rnacentral:rRNA from 1 species